rnacentral:miRNA from 1 species
AUUACCCUGAGAUCUUGUUAAAAUUCAGAUUCUAAUUCAGCCUGAGUUUCUGCAGUUCUAGCAUGUUCCCAGGUGAAGGCAAUACUGCU